CUGGCCCUGUGACUACUGCUGUGUCUGGCUUGUUCUGUGGAUGCCGUAAUGGAGUCCUUGAACUCGUUAGCUGUGAACAGUCUAAUCCCACAUGCUUUCAACCCCCAACAGGUGCUGAGUGCAACCCGACACUCGUUUGUGCAGGAUGGAGGGAAAGAAUGCUGCAGAGAAAAGAGAACAAUCUGGAGGGCUGACAGGAAGAAAGAGGGAGGCCAGUUCUCAUGGGGAAAGAGCAGAGAGAGAAACUUCAAAACCUCCUCUAUGUAG
ensembl:lncRNA